CUGAUGUCAGCGGCGGACGGGUGAGUAACACGUGGGCAACCUGCCUGUAAGACUGGGAUAACUUCGGGAAACCGGAGCUAAUACCGGAUAACUUCGAGCACCUCCUGGUGCUUGGAUAAAAGACGGCGUCUAGCUGUCACUUACAGAUGGGCCCGCGGCGCAUUAGCUAGUUGGUGAGGUAACGGCUCACCAAGGCGACGAUGCGUAGCCGACCUGAGAGGGUGAUCGGCCACACUGGGACUGAGACACGGCCCAGACUCCUACGGGAGGCAGCAGUAGGGAAUCUUCCGCAAUGGACGAAAGUCUGACGGAGCAACGCCGCGUGAGCGAUGAAGGCCUUCGGGUCGUAAAGCUCUGUUGUUAGGGAAGAACAAGUACCAGAGUAACUGCUGGUACCUUGACGGUACCUAACCAGAAAGCCACGGCUAACUACGU
rnacentral:rRNA from 1 species